AUGAGGAAAGAGUGGGAACGAAGUCACUGCGGUAGCCAAGACGUGCCACCCAAGUCACGGCCAGUCGUGCCUUGCGGCUGGGUCUCGGCAGAGCAAUGCUGUGAGCGGGUGGCGAGGCUCCAUGGCUGUGGGGGGACAGCGGGGAAAGGCAGGCGGCGGGCGGCGAGCGAGGCAGGCCCGGGGGAGCUGGCAGGCUGGCGACGCGGGUGCGGAGGGCGAGCACCCCGCUGCGGGCGGCUAUUGCAGCGGGGCCGCGGUGGUCACCAUCUCCCUCGGUGCCAACUCCCUUCGCCCAGGCGGCAAAGGCGUAAGGAGGGAGGAGGACACGUCCUCCUGCGCCGAGCUAAACCCCCCUCAGCCCAGGGCGGGCGUUCCCCGGGCCCUGCCUCUCCUCCUGCUCCGGGCCCCGCAGGGCCCCACCUGCUGUCCCCAGUGAGGCGGCUCACGACAGGUCGCGACACUGACCACUCCCCCCCCCGGGCACAACUCGGAAUGCGGCGGCGGCUGCUGCUGCUGCUGCGGGCCCCUCGGGGCGAGCGCUGCCGCCGCCGCGGAACGCAAGGCAGCCGCUCCCGCGCAACGGCCGCGCACGCGCGCCGCCGCCCCGCCCCGGCCACGCGCGCCCGCCCCACCCCUUCCAGCGAUCACGUGGCGCGGGGGGGGCGGGAGCGAGGCCACUCGGCGGAGCUCGGCGCGCGCCCACGCCCGCCGCCCCGGCCCCGCCGCCGGCCGCAGCGCGCUCGCGGGCCGGCGUGCACGCGCCGCUGCGCGUGCGAGCGAGCUGCACCAACCGUCGCCGCUUGGCGCAGUUCGCAUCCACCCGGGCGCUGCUUCCCCUUCUCCUCCUUCCCCGUCCUCUCCCCAGUCCUCCCCCCCGCCCUUUUCUUUUCCCUGUCUCCAUCCAUUCACCCACCCAUCCAUCCAUCCUCCCUCUCCUGGCGCCGGCCCUGCCUGGCCUCGCUCGAGGUAAGCGAGAAGGGCCGCUGCCGCCGAGUCGGCUUGGGGAGGGGGCGCGCGCGGCGGGUGUGUGUGUAG
rnacentral:lncRNA from 1 species